UACGUAGGUGGCAAGCGUUGUCCGGAGUUAUUGGGCGUAAAGCGCGCGCAGGCGGUGCGGUAAGUCUCUGGUGAAAGCGCUCGGCUUAACUGGGCGAGGGCCGGGGAGACUGCCACGCUGGAGGGGAGCAGAGGCGAGUGGAAUUCCGGGUGUAGUGGUGAAAUGCGUAGAGAUCCGGAGGAACACCAGUGGCGAAGGCGGCUCGCUGGGCUCUACCUGACGCUGAGGCACGAAAGCUAGGGUAGCGAACGGG
rnacentral:rRNA from 1 species